rnacentral:lncRNA from 1 species
AAAAUAAUGAGGGGUGUCACGGGGUAUGACUAUAUAGGUCUUGUAGAGGAGAAACAGGCGCUUCUUUUGCGCUAGGUAUCGAAGGGCGCUAUGUUCAAAAAUCUGAAACUAGAGCUCAAAAUUUGAAAAAAAAUGUCAAAAAAAUUAGGGGGUAGGGUCGGCCUAUUCCAGGAGUUCUAGAGAAAAAUAAUGAGGGGUGUCACGGGGUAUGACUAUAUAGGUCUUGUAGAGGAGAAACAGGCGCUUCUUUUGCGCUAGGUAUCGAAGGGCGCUAUGUUCAAAAAUCUGAAACUAGAGCUCAAAAUUUGAAAAAAAUGUCAAAAAAUUAGGGGGGUCGGCCUAUUCUAGGGCUUCUAGAGAAAAAUAAUGAGGGGUGUCACGGGGAAUGACUAUAUAGGUCUUGUAGAGGAGAAACAGGCGCUUCUUUUGCGCUAGGUAUCGAAGGGCGCUAUGUUCAAAAAUCUGAAACUAGAGCUCAAAAUUUGAAAAAAAUGUCAAAAAAUUAGGGGGGUCGGCCUAUUCUAGGACUUCUAGAGAAAAAUAAUGAGGGGUGUCACGGGGAAUGACUAUAUAGGUCUUGUAGAGGAGAAACAGGCGCUUCUUUUGCGCUAGGUAUCGAAGGGCGCUAUGUUCAAAAAUCUGAAACUAGAGCUCAAAAUUUGAAAAAAAUGUCAAAAAAUUAGGGGGGUCGGCCUAUUCUAGGACUUCUAGAGAAAAAAAAUGAGGGGUGUCACGGGGUAUGACUAUAUAGGUCUUGUAGAGGAGAAACAGGCGCUUCUUUUGCGCUAGGUAUCGAAGGGCGCUAUGUUCAAAAAUCUGAAACUAGAGCUCAAAAUUUGAAAAAAAAUGUCAAA